UACGUAGGGGGCAAGCGUUGUCCGGAAUCAUUGGGCGUAAAGAGCGUGUAGGCGGUUCGGUAAGUCCGCUGUGAAAGUCCAGGCUCAACCCUGGAAUGCCGGUGGAAACUGUCGAACUAGAGUCCGGAAGAGGCGAGUGGAAUUCCUGGUGUAGCGGUGAAAUGCGCAGAUAUCAGGAGGAACACCAAUGGCGAAGGCAGCUCGCUGGGACGGUACUGACGCUGAGACGCGAAAGCGUGGGGAGCAAACAGG
rnacentral:rRNA from 1 species